AGCUCCAAUAGCGUAUAUUAAAGUUGUUGUGGUUAAAAAGCUCGUAGUUGGAUCUCGGCGGUCUGAGGGCGGUUCGCUCGAUGAGUGCUACUGCUCUAUAGGCCGUGGUUUUGCCAGAGGUCUCGGGGUGCUCUUAACCGAGUGUCCUGCGAUGCUGGCAGGUUUACUUUGAAAAAAUUAGAGUGCUCAAAGCAGGCUUUUACGCCUGAAUAUUCGUGCAUGGAAUAAUAGAAUAGGAAGUCGUUUCUAUUUUGUUGGUCUUCGGGAUGGGAGUAAUGAUUAAGAGGAACAGUUGGGGGCAUUCGUAUUUCAUUGUCAGAGGUGAAAUUCUUGGAUUUAUGAAAGACGAACUUCUGCGAAAGCAUUUGCCAAGGAUGUUUUCA
rnacentral:rRNA from 1 species